CGGAGACGAUCCUAGCUUGCUAGGAGGCGUCGAGCGGCGGACGGGUGAGUAAUGCAUAGGAAUCUACCCAGUCGUGGGGGAUAACCUGAGGAAACUCAGGCUAAUACCGCAUACGUCCUACGGGAGAAAGCGGGGGCUCUUCGGACCUCGCGCGAUUGGAUGAGCCUAUGUCGGAUUAGCUGGUUGGUGAGGUAACGGCUCACCAAGGCGACGAUCCGUAGCUGGUCUGAGAGGAUGAUCAGCCACACCGGGACUGAGACACGGCCCGGACUCCUACGGGAGGCAGCAGUGGGGAAUAUUGGACAAUGGGCGCAAGCCUGAUCCAGCCAUGCCGCGUGUGUGAAGAAGGCUUUCGGGUUGUAAAGCACUUUCAGCGAGGAAGAAAGCGUGCCGGCCAAUACCCGGUACGGACGACAUCACUCGCAGAAGAAGCACCGGCUAACUCCGUGCCAGCAGCCGCGGUAAUACGGAGGGUGCAAGCGUUAAUCGGAAUUACUGGGCGUAAAGCGCGCGUAGGCGGCGUGUCACGCCGGGUGUGAAAGCCCCGGGCUCAACCUGGGAACGGCAUCCGGAACGGGCAGGCUAGAGUGCAGGAGAGGAAGGUAGAAUUCCCGGUGUAGCGGUGAAAUGCGUAGAGAUCGGGAGGAAUACCAGUGGCGAAGGCGGCCUUCUGGACUGACACUGACGCUGAGGUGCGAAAGCGUGGGUAGCAAACAGGAUUAGAUACCCUGGUAGUCCACGCCGUAAACGAUGUCGACUAGCCGUUGGGUCCCUUGAGGACUUAGUGGCGCAGUUAACGC
rnacentral:rRNA from 1 species